rnacentral:piRNA from 1 species
UGAGAUGGAUUGAUUGCUUACUUUUGGCCCA